rnacentral:rRNA from 1 species
UACGUAGGGGGCAAGCGUUGUCCGGAUUCAUUGGGCGUAAAGAGCGUGUAGGCGGCCAGGUAGGUCGGUUGUGAAAACUGGAGGCUCAACCUUCAGAGGUCGACCGAAACCAUCUGGCUAGAGUCCGGGAGAGGAGAGUGGAAUUCCUGGUGUAGCGGUGAAAUGCGCAGAUAUCAGGAAGAACACCCGUGGCGAAAGCGGCUCGCUGGAACGGUACUGACGCUGAGACGCGAAAGCGUGGGGAGCAAACAGG